GAUGAACGCUGGCGGCGUGCCUAAUACAUGCAAGUCGAGCGAACGGACGAGAAGCUUGCUUCUCUGAUGUUAGCGGCGGACGGGCGAGUAACACGUGGAUAACCUACCUAUAAGACUGGGAUAACUUCGGGAAACCGGAGCUAAUACCGGAUAAUAUUUUGAACCGCAUGGUUCAAAAGUGAAAGACGGUCUUGCUGUCACUUAUAGAUGGAUCCGCGCUGCAUUAGCUAGUUGGUAAGGUAACGGCUUACCAAGGCAACGAUGCAUAGCCGACCUGAGAGGGUGAUCGGCCACACUGGAACUGAGACACGGUCCAGACUCCUACGGGAGGCAGCAGUAGGGAAUCUUCCGCAAUGGGCGAAAGCCUGACGGAGCAACGCCGCGUGAGUGAUGAAGGUCUUCGGAUCGUAAAACUCUGUUAUUAGGGAAGAACAUAUGUGUAAGUAACUGUGCACAUCUUGACGGUACCUAAGCAGAAAGCCACGGCUAACUACGU
rnacentral:rRNA from 1 species